GGCCUCCUGGUGCUGACCACGGGCUGUGUUCUUCCACUGACUGCUAAAAAGUAGACCUCAGCCCAGGCCCUGUGCCUGGUCUGUACUAUGAAUGGGGAGACAUGG
rnacentral:snoRNA from 1 species